GCGCCUAUGCGCUCAGAAAUUUCUAUAGUUUGUUACUCGCGAAUUUUCUGGAGCACAAGAGGGAGCACAGUGUCUCCUCUGAGCCUGACCCAGCUCUCGGCGCCUCUCCAGGGCAACUGCCCUUUGACAUCAAUGAUGGUACUUUUCUCCUCUGGGGAGGGGAAGAAGGGAGACGCUGUCCGA
rnacentral:snoRNA from 1 species